CCCAGACAGCCAGGAUGUUGGCUUAGAAGCAGCCAUCAUUUAAAGAAAGCGUAAUAGCUCACUGGUCGAGUCGGCCUGCGCGGAAGAUGUAACGGGGCUAAACCAUGCACCGAAGCUGCGGCAGCGACGCUGUGCGUUGUUGGGUAGGGGAGCGUUCUGUAAGCCUGCGAAGGUGGCCUGUGAGGGUUGCUGGAGGUAUCAGAAGUGCGAAUGCUGACAUAAGUAACGAUAAAGCGGGUGAAAAGCCCGCUCGCCGGAAGACCAA
rnacentral:rRNA from 1 species